AUUGAACGCUAGCUACAGGCUUAACACAUGCAAGUCGAGCGGCCGGCGUACGGGUGAGUAACGCGUAUCCAACCUUCCCAUUACUGUGGGAUAACCUGCCGAAAGGCAGACUAAUACAGCAUAGUAAUGGCUGGGGAUGCGUCUGAUUAGCUUGGUGGCGGGGUAAAGGCACACCAAGGCGACGAUAAGUAGGGGGUCUGCGAGGCAGUGCCCCCACGUUGGAACUAGGGCACGGUCCAAACGCCUACGCGACGUAGCAGUGUGGACGAUUGGUCAAUGGACGGAAGUCUGACCCAGCCACGUAGCGUGCAGGAUGACUGCCUAUGAAAUGUAAACUGCUUUUGUAUGGGGAUCGGUACCAUAUGAAUAAGGACCGGCUAAUUCCGUGCCAGCAGCCGCGGUAAUAC
rnacentral:rRNA from 1 species